UGCGUAGGUGGCGUCGUAAGUCGGGCGUGAAAUCUCGGGGCUUAACUCCGAAACUGCAUUCGAUACUGCGGUGCUUGAGGACUGGAGAGGAGACUGGAAUUUACGGUGUAGCAGUGAAAUGCGUAGAGAUCGUAAGGAAGACCAGUGGCGAAGGCGGGUCUCUGGACAGUUCCUGACACUGAGGCACGAAGGCCAGGGAGCAAACG
rnacentral:rRNA from 1 species